ensembl:lncRNA
CACAGAACACUGCAAUAAGAGUUGUUAGGACUCGGGGAACAAGGAAGGAACUGACUUUAUGUUGGUCGGGGGUGGAUUGAGGAAAAGGACUUUCUGAAUUGAAGUAGAAUUCUACGGUACUUUUCCCUUGGACUCUUGUAUUGCUAAGUAAUAGCAACCAGCGGAGUCAGCUCAAGCAAAUUUAAUCAUAAGGCUGUAUUUGGGGGAAACCCAGGGCAGGUGGGCAGCCAGCUUUGGGGAUCAGAUGAAGGGAUUGGCCAAGUAUGUCUCUCUUGUUUGCUCGCUCUCUGUGCACAAGGCAGGGGACGGCUGCCCUAAGAGUGGUUGGUCAGCAACGACGCAUUCCUCAGUUACUAUCCUGAGCAGCCACCAGCUGGGGGGCCCUGACCCCUGAUUCUGAACAGUGCUGGAAUGAAAGUGAUUUGCCCACAUCUGCCCUGGGGUUGAUAGCAGGAUAGGCAGAUAAUAAAAGUUAAAUACAUAGGAGGUCAGGUGGCAAUAAGUCCAAUUGAGGGAAAAUAAGAGAAAGAAGGAGAAUAAGGCCCUCAGUGAUGGGUGGGAGUGGUGUUGAAUUUUAAACACAACAGUCAGGGAAAACAAUAUUUUUUAGUCUAAGUAUGUCCUAUGCAAUAUUGAGGGCAUACUUAUUCUGAAAAUAAUUCACGGUUAAUCUGAAAUUCAAAUGUAAUUGGGUCCUGUACUUUUACUGCUAACCUUGGCAACCCUUUUAAUUUUAAUCUCCUUGGUCUGGGCCUCACUGAGAACUCUGAGUAAAGAUCUGAGAGGCAAAUGAAGGAGUCAAGUGGGUGUCUGGGUGAGGAGCAUUUGUGAGGAAUGCAAAGUCCCUGGGGCAGACUCAUGCAGCGUGUUUGAGGAAUAGCAAGGAGGCCAGCCGAUGGGAGUGAGUUGGAGGUAAAGUCAGAGAGGCCACUCUCAGGGCCUUGGCCUUGACUCUGGUGAGCUGGGGGCUAGUGGAGGGUGUGAGGAGAGCAGGGACACGCCUGACUUUUAUGACCCCAUUGGGCUGCUGGUUGAGAGUCGAAGCAGCUGGAGCAAGGGCCGCAGCACAGAACUCCUGAAGAGUCUACUGCAGCGACCCAAGACACAGAGGGUGGGGGCCAGGACCUGGGUGUCAGCAGAUACAAUGCUGAGACAUAGCCAGAGCCCACAUGCAUUUUGAUGGUAACAUCCAGGACCAGCUACAUAAUUUGCAAGGCCUAGUGCAAAACAAAAAUGCUGGGCCCCAUGUUCAAGACAAUGAAGAAUUUCAAGAUGGCACCCUCAAAGCAUGAAACCCCUUCUAAGCGAGAGGCUGUUUGUGGCUGCACAGGCCACAGGGCCAUGAAGCUGGACCUGGUCGAGGACUGUAGAGUGUGAAAGAGGUUUCUGCCAGAUGAAUUGCAUUUAUGGAGUUGGUGUUGACUGAGACAGAGAGCCUGAUGGAGCAGGUUUGGUGCGGCGACGCAGAUGAGAGACUGGGGAAAAAAGGGGAAAACCCCCUUCUGGCCUUUCUACAGUCCAGAUAAUUGGAAGAAAGUAUAAAUAGGAAAAAUAUUUCCUUCACAAUAGCAACACAACUCAUGAAAUACACAGAAAUAAGAGAGUAAAUGAGUGUAUGAAUUAUAUGAAGAAAACUAUGGAACUCUACCAAGGAGUCUUAAUGCCUGGUGAGAUGUCCAUUUUCAUGGGGUGAUUCAACACCAGGAAGAAGCCUUUUCUCCCCACAUCAAUCUACAGAGUCAGAGAAACUCUAGUAGGAUUCUAAUAGGAUAUUUAUUGAAUUGUGACAAAGAAUUUCAAAAGUUCAUUGGGUAUGAAAUAAAAAUGAGAUAAUCUCAGAAAAUUUUAAAGAAGAAUAAUUGUUAGGAGGGUCAGCCUGACUAGCCACUCCAAUAAGAAGUAAGAGUAACUUAAACAGAAUGGUACUGAUGUGAGCAUGGGCAAGACCAGGAGAAGAGCACGGUCGUGACGCAACCCCAAGCACACACUGGAAAUGGAACAGGACAGAGACGGCAUCACUCGGCAGAAGAGGUAGGUGCUUAUUCAGUUAUCAACUUACAGAAUUAAAAGCUGGCUCCUCACCUCACCCACUUCAAGGACAAAUCAGAUUAAUUACAUUUUCGAUUAUUAGGAAUGAAGCUGUUGGUAUAGAAAAAGCAGUGAGCAAGACUUUUCUGAACAAGUCAAGAAAUCUAGAAUCCUGUGGGUAAAACAAUGCGGAAAUAACCCAACCGGAAGCCCCAUGACAAGGGAGCCCAAGGGGAGCGUCUGAGAGGAAACUUGGGAGCGCAUCUUCCUCACCUGAAAGAUGGAGGCAGCUAUUCCUGCUUUGUUCAUCGUGCUGGUCUUUUCAGUAUUGUUUGAGUUAAUGGAUGUGAAAACUCUAUACACACUGUAAAGGACUGUGGCUCCCAUUGUCCUCAUGGAGGGACCAUCUUCACCUGGAUUCAAGUCAGUCAGAGACAGAGAUUAAUAAAUUGCACCACCCACUGAUUUUACAUUUCAACUUUCUUACAUGUGUCUUAACGAGUUGAUUUAACUUUGAAAAUUUAAACUUAUUUGCUACAAGUAAAUAUAUACACGUGUAUUACACACACCAGGGAAGGAAGAGCUUUUUCAAUCAUGUCUGGCCCGUUUCCUGGGAGCGAUCUUGGUUUCCCUACGUAGGCUGACUCUGCAUCCUUAACCACCACUUCUCCAGCCCCAGGGAAGCCGCACUGAAAUCAGCCCAGCACACGUGGAAUGAUUUCUGUGCUUGGCCCCGAGAUGAUGCGGUGUGGGAGGGCAGAGUUAGGAAACAUCUCUGUCAUAAAUAAGUGUGUGGUCUGUGUGCAGACACCAAACCUACUGUGAAAUAUUAAGCAAGGCAUGUCUCUUUCUACACUUUCUUGUACGUGUUGCCCUCUUCCAACCCAACCAGCUAGGACACUGGCUUACUGCCCCAAAGUGUAACAGGUACAGAAAUAAAUCAAAUAGAAAGCAGACAAAUCAAGGCCCAGCUCAGCUUUGGAGCCUCCUGGUAUCACUGCCUGUGUGGUCAGCUGCCACAUGGUACCAGGGAUUUGUCUGUGUGACCAACAGUGUACAGCAGAAGUGACG